UACGUAGGGUGCAAGCGUUGUCCGGAAUUAUUGGGCGUAAAGCGCGCGCAGGCGGCCUUUUAAGUCUGAUGUGAAAGCCCACGGCUCAACCGUGGAAGGUCAUUGGAAACUGAAGGGCUUGAGUACAGAAGAGGAAAGCGGAAUUCCACGUGUAGCGGUGAAAUGCGUAGAGAUGGGGAGGAACACCAGUGGCGAAGGCGACUCACUGGCCCGAUACUGACGCUGAGGCGCGAAAGCGUGGGGAGCAAACAGG
rnacentral:rRNA from 1 species